AGGAGAGAGACAGUAGACAGACGGUAGUAACGGAGAGGAGAGACAGUAGACAGACGGUAGUAACGGAGAGGAGAGAGACAGUAGACAGACGGUAGUAACAGAGAGGAGAGUCAGUAGACAGACGGUAGUAACAGAGAGGAGAGACAGUAGACAGACGGUAGUAACAGAGGGGAGAGUCAGUAGACAGACGGUAGUAACAGAGAGGAGAGACACAGUAGACAGACGGUAGUAACAGAGAGGAGAGAGACAGUAGACAGACGGUAGUAACGGAGAGGAGAGAGACAACAGACGGUAGUAACGGAGAGGAGAGAGUAGACAGACGGUAGUAACGGAGAGGAGAGACAGUAGACAGACGGUAGUAAUGAAGAGGAGAGAGUAGACAGACAGUAGUAACGGAGACACAGUAGACAGACGGUAGUAACGGAGAGACAGUAGACAGACAGUAGUAACGGAGAGGAGAGAGAGUAGACAGACAGACAGUACUAACGGAGACACAGUAGACAGACAGUAGUAACGGAGAGACAGUAGACAGACAGUAGUAACGGAGAGCAGAGAGUAGACAGACAGUACUAACGGAGACACAGCAGACAGACGGUAGUAACGGAGAGUAGAGAGUAGACAGACGGUAGUAACGGAGAGGAGAGAGUAGACAGACAGUACUAACGGAGACACAGUAGACAGACAGUAGUAACAGAGAGACAGUAGACAGACAGUAGUAAUGGAGAGCAGAGAGUAGACAGACGGUAGUAACGGAGAGGAGAGAGCAGACAGACGGUAGUAAUGGAGAGGAGAGAGUAGACAGACAGUAGUAACGGAGAGACAGUAGACAGACAGUAGUAAUGGAGAGCAGAGAGACAGACGACAGUAGUAACGGAGAGGAGAGAGUAGACAGACAGUACUAACGGAGACACAGUAGACAGACAGUAGUAACGGAGAGACAGUAGACAGACAGUAGUAAUGGAGAGGAGAGAGUAGACACAGUACUAACGGAGACACAGUAGACAGACGGUAGUAACGGAGAGGAGAGAGUAGACACAGUAUUAACGGAGAGACAGUAGACAGACGGUAGUAACGGAGAGCAGAGAGUAGACAGACAGUAGUAACGGAGAGACAGUA
ensembl:lncRNA